CUUGACAUACGUCACAUCCGGGCGGAAGUUUCAGUCGAACACAGCGAGGAAACUGCGGAGACUGGAGACGUUUCUGUGCCACAGACUAAACAUGCCGAGGACUGCUGAGAUGAGUCCAGGCCCGGCUGUACUCUCAGCUCCUGACUGACACCUGAUCCUCCUGUAGGAGUCUGACAAAACACUGAAGAUACAGGUGUGAACAGUUCUGUCUCUGUUUCAGUGAUGGACUGGAGACCUGAACAAGGUGACCCCACCAUGUCACCCACCAUGUCACCCCCCAACCCCGCGAAGGAUAAGUGGGUGUAACGGAUGGAUGGGAGGCGGCUUCCAGACCCCUGCGGAGGAGGAGGAGCUGGGAGUCAGCUGACAUCGACAUGGAGGGAUCACAGGAAAUAGAAGCACAGAAGAAGAAAUGUGUUGAAUGGUCCCGACCUAAACCAAAGCCCCAGGCCGCUGAAGUUCAUCCUGGUCUCACUCACAUGAGUCACUGCGCAUCAGUAAUUUAUCUAUAGAAGAAGAAACCUGCAGCUUGUGAAGUGGGUGCAUUAGUUUUUCUGACAAUAAAAAUAAUAAAACUUUUACUAACCCCUACUGGGGAAUAGUAGGAACAACAUCUGCAGAUUUCUCACAUCAUCCCUUUGCAAUCCUUGAGUUACUGAAACGUUUCUCACCAUACAGUAAUUAGUUGUUGUAGCCAUGUUUUUCUAGACAAAAAACCAAGGUGACCAGCUGUGGCCCUCUGCAUCAUGUCCCUUAUACUUUCAUUAUUAGUCUUUGUAAAUAUAUGAAACACUGUUGAAAUAAACUUGAUCUGAACACA